rnacentral:rRNA from 1 species
GGAUGCGAUCAUACCAGCACUAAAGAACCGGUUACCAUCAGAACUCCGAAGUUAAGCGUGCUUGGGCGAGAGUAGUACUAGGAUGGGUGACCUCCUGGGAAGUCCUCGUGUUGCAUUCC